rnacentral:rRNA from 1 species
GCUAAAAAUCUAGCCCAAUAAACAUGAAUUUAACCAAAAUACUAUAUUUACCUAAUAAACCAUUCUGUUUCUUUAGUAAAGGAGAUUGAAAAAUUUUUUGGAGCUAUAACGACAGUACCGCAAGGGAAUGAUGAAAUAUCUUAUGAAAACUUUAAAGCGAUAAAAAGUAGUGUUUACUUCAUGUACCUUUUGCAUCAUGGUUUAACUAGUCUAAUCAAGCAAAACGUAUUUUAGUUUGACCUCCCGAAACUAAGUGAGCUACUUCAAGGCAGCUGAAAGAGCUAACCCGUCUCUGUUGCAAAAGAGUGGGAUGACCUUCAAGUAGAGGUGACAGACCUAACGAACUUAGUGAUAGCUGGUUGCUCAGGAAAAGGAUCUAAGUCCAACCUAAAUUUUCCCAAUAGUUCAUCAAAACGACCCUUUGAAUUUUAGCGUAAUUCAAAUAAGGUACAGCCUAUUUGAAACAGGAUACAACCUAAACCAAUGGAUAAUAUUAGCUUUUUUUAUACAAUCAAGUGGGCCUAAAAGCAGCCAUCUUUAAAAUUGCGUCAAAGCUUAAUUGCUCUUAUGCUAAAUUACCCUAUUUUAUUUCAUUCCUUCAUUAGUACUGAGUAAUUCUAUACUUCUAUAGAAAAUUUUAUGUUAAAACUAGUAACAAGAAGAAGACCUUCUCUAAAGUGUAAGUGUAAAUCAGGCAGGACUAACCACUGAUAUUUAUCAUUUUUGAGCCCAAAGUAAUAACUUAACAAGAAAACCUUACUCACACACAUGUUAACCUAACACAAGAGCACUUCAAGAAAGAUUUAAAGAAAAAGAAGGAACUCGGCAAAUAAUAACCUCGCCUGUUUACCAAAAACAUCGCCUCUUGACACAUAUAAGAGGUCCAGCCUGCCCAGUGACUCUGUUCAACGGCCGCGGUAUCCUAACCGUGCGAAGGUAGCGUAAUCACUUGUUCUUUAAUUGAGGACUAGUAUGAAUGGCACCACGAGGGUUAUACUGUCUCCUUUUUCUAAUCAGUGAAACUAAUCUCCCCGUGAAGAAGCGAGGAUAUAAAUAUAAGACGAGAAGACCCUAUGGAGCUUCAAACAUUAUAGCUCAUCACUAAAAACCUUUAAGUUCCCGAACACUCUGCUCUUCAGAUGAUGUGUCUAUGAGUUUUUGGUUGGGGUGACCACGGAGCAUAAAAUAACCUCCAUAUUGAAAGACUAAAACUCUAAGCUAGGAUUUACGUAUCAAAGCAUCAGCACACUGACAUUCAUUGACCCAAUAUAAUUGAGCAACGAACCAAGUUACCCUAGGGAUAACAGCGCAAUCCACUUCAAGAGCCCCUAUCGACAAGUGGGUUUACGACCUCGAUGUUGGAUCAGGGUAUCCCAGUGGUGCAGCCGCUACUAAAGGUCG